ensembl:lncRNA
CUGGAACAAGAGCUAGGCUGGAGGCAUGUCCUGUUGUUAUGGAGGGGAAAGGAGAGCAGCAGAUUUGAGGAGCUGGGAUGGGUGUUCUCUGUCUUGCCCUGAAACAAUCUGGUCACCCGGCCUCCACCAACCAUGUGAAAAACAGGCAGAAAUGAGAAGAAUGCAGCCUGGUGCCCCGGGAACUUGGUCCUCUCUGGGUUGGGACUCUCAAGAGUCUUCUCCAGCACCACAGUUCAAAAGCAUGAUUUCUUCAGCACUCCGCCUUCUUUAUUGUCCAACUCUCACAUCUGUACAUGACUACUGGAAAGACCAUAGCCUCAACUAUACGGACUUUUGUGGGCAAAGUGAUGUCUUUGCUUUUUAACACACCGUCUAGGUUUAUCAUAGGAGAGAAGGAUGACUGUUGUCAUUCAGAGAGUGGCAAGGACCAUGCAUACGAGCUCUUCCUAUGAGGUGGCAGAGAUAGCCUCCAGCAGCUCCUGCUUUAGGAACCAGGCCAUUAAGUGAACCUCUUUCCUAAGAAUCCUAGCAGAAGUCCUGGCUUGAGUCUCAGUGGACCACUCAGUCAUCUGCCUACCUGUAAGCCAAUCACAGAGAUGAAGGACCUGAAGCCCAGAGGAGGAAAGCAGAUUAUUGAGGAUCAUACAGAGGAGUCAGAGAUAAAUCAACAUGACGUGGCAGAGUGUUUCAGCCUGUACAUCUGCUACUUGGCGUUGAGAAAAGCACAGAGCUAGUGUGGGCGGACCUGGGGCUGAUGUCCCACCUUUGCCAAACAUGAUGAGUCUCUAUGAUUAUCCCAGCCCUGUCUGAGGAACUG